rnacentral:rRNA from 1 species
GAGGAAUAUUGGUCAAUGGGUGCAAGCCUGAACCAGCCAUCCCGCGUGAAGGACGACUGCCCUAUGGGUUGUAAACUUCUUUUGUAUAGGGAUAAACCUACCCUCGUGAGGGUAGCUGAAGGUACUAUACGAAUAAGCACCGGCUAACUCCGUGCCAGCAGCCGCGGUAAUACGGAGGGUGCAAGCGUUAUCCGGAUUUAUUGGGUUUAAAGGGUCCGUAGGCGGACUUAUAAGUCAGUGGUGAAAGCCUGUCGCUUAACGAUAGAACUGCCAUUGAUACUGUAAGUCUUGAGUAUAUUUGAGGUAGCUGGAAUAAGUAGUGUAGCGGUGAAAUGCAUAGAUAUCACACAGAAUAUCGAUUGCGAAGGCAGCUCACAAAGCCAUUAUUGACGCUGAGGCACGAAAGUGUGGGGAUCAAACA